AUUAAAAUGGCAGAUUAGUGCAACGGGUUUAAACUCCGUGUAUAAUGUUUACCAUUUUUUAAUA
rnacentral:tRNA from 1 species